UCUUCAUUAUUCUUCUUCUCUUCUCUUCUACUCUCUUCUGCAUAUUUUCUUCUUCUUCUGCUCUUCUCUUUUACGAGGGAUUCGAGGGAUGUUCUGAGGAUUUGAUUAGGGUGAAUCAACUGAUGAAGGUAAAGAUACGAAUUAGAAGAUGUUGUUGAAGAAUACAAAAGUAAGCAGUUAGGUAUUGAGAAAGUAAGUCGGGGGGAAGUUAGGGUUUCUGAGUUUAAUAUUGAUUGAAGAUUCAUAAGGAAUUAAGUAUGUAAUUGAGUGAUUAUAAGAGGGGUUUCGGCUUAAUUGAAUAUGUAUAACUGUUUUGAUGAAGAAUCAGAGAAUUAGGGUUGUCCUGUUCUUCCCCAAAUUGAGGACUUAGGGUUUUGUUCUCGAACAUGUGAUUUGAGAUGGUUAAGAAAGAAUUAACAGAUGGGUUUUGAUGAACAUGAAGUGAAGAGGAAGAUUAUGAUGCCAACUUACAGACCUAGUUACUGAGAGGACUUCAAUUUCAGAAUUAAGGUAAUUGUCUUUUACUGUAAAGUUAGUAAGAUUAUUAUCUUGUUGUUGUGUUUCAAGUUGAUGUUGUUGUGGUCUUGAUUUUGAGUAUAUCACUGAAAUAGUAAUGAAUGAAUAUUAUUGAGUUUAUAAGUUUCUUAAUGAGUUAAGAAUUGAUAUGGAUAUGGUGGGUUGUGCUGGACCUGUUUUGUGGUUAGGUUGUGCAAGCACAUGGAGAAGGAUUUAAUGAUUCUUGAGUGAACUGAGUGCAGAUGAAAGAAUCAUAUGAGGUAUAUGAACUGUAGGUUGGUGGUGGUGAUUGUCUCAAUAUUAAAAUGGUUUUGUUAAAUUUGUUGUUUAGAUUUGAUUUGUAAUUGGUGGUUGAAUUAUACAAGUUAUAUCUGAAAUGGAUUGAUGUGUGUUGGGAUUGAAGAUUUGAAUGAGAUAGGCUAUGAUUCAGCUGAACUAGUGGAGUCAGUUGUUUUGGUUUUGAUUGUGAUGAUGGCGUUUAACUGAACAGUGGAGGGGAAUUGUUGGUUAUGUAAGAUGAUAUAGUAGGUGGUGGUCUGUACUGGUUUGAAUUUCAGUUACAAAUGCUAAGCAUGUUAAUGUUGCAGAUGGAGGUGACUGUACUGGUUAUGAGUUGUGGUGGUUCUGGUCUUGAAGUUAGAUGAAUAUCAGGUUCUGAGAUAGGUUAACGAUUUUGAGAAUGGUGGAGUUGUUUAUAGUCUGAGAUAAGACGAUUCAGAUGUCGCAACUACUGCAUUUGCAGAUUCUGAUGACGAACCAGUGGAUCGUAGAUCUCGAGGUAGGCGUGGCUUGUCAUCAAAAGAGUUUCAGAGACAGACCAGAGUUGCGCAACGAAAGCUCCGAGAAGUUGACUUCUUUAGUUGGUUAUAAUCUGUUGUAUAUUCUAUUUGUAAACCAAAUGACUAUUGUGUAUGUAUCAUUUGAGAGAAGAUCUUGUAUAUAUAUAUUUCUGAGUGGAGUUAGUUUUG